GAUGAACGCUGGCGGCGUGCCUAAUACAUGCAAGUCGAGCGAACAGACGAGGAGCUUGCUCCUCUGACGUUAGCGGCGGACGGGUGAGUAACACGUGUAUAAUCUACCUAUCUGACUGGGAUAACUUCGGGAAACCGGCGCUAAUACCGGAUAAUAUACUGAACCGCAUGGUUCAUUAGUGAAAUACGGCUGUGCUGUCACUUAUAGAUGGAUCUGCGCCGCAUUAGCUAGUUGGUACGGUCACGGCUUACCACGGCGACGAUGCGUAGCCGACGUGAGAGGGUGGUCGGCCACACGAGAAGUGAGACACGGUCCAGGCUCCUACGGGAGGCAGCAGACGGCAAUCUUCGGCAGUGGGCGAGAGCCUGGCAGAGCGAGGGCGCGUGAGUGAUGAAGGUCUUCGGAUCGUAAAACUCUGUUAUGAGGUAAAAACAGAUGUGUAAGUAGAUAUAGAGGUCGUGACGGUACCUGGUCAAAAAGCCCCGGCUAACUACGUG
rnacentral:rRNA from 1 species